rnacentral:rRNA from 1 species
AUUGAACGCUGGCGGCAGGCCUAACACAUGCAAGUCGAACGGUUGCCGGACGGGGGAGUAAUGUCUGGGAACUGGCCUGAUGGAGGGGGAUAACUCCUGAAACGGGUGGCUAAUACGGAAUACCAUCGGAGGUGCCCAGAUGGGAUUAGCUAGUAGGUGGGGUAAAGGCUCACCUAGGCGACGAUCCCUAGCUGGUCUGAGAGGAUGACCAGCCAAACUGGAACUGAGACACGGUCCAGACUCCUACGGGAGGCAGCAGUGGGGAAUAUUGCACAAUGGGCGCAAGCCUGAUGCAGCCAUGCCGCGUGUAUGAAGAAGGCCUUCGGGUUGUAAAGUACUUUCAGCGGGGAGGCGUUACCCGCAGAAGAAGCACCGGCUAACUCCGUGCCAGCAGCCGCGGUAAUAC